CAGUAGCCGCGGGAAUACGGAGGGUGCAAGCGUUAAUCGGAAUUACUGGGCGUAAAGCGCACGCAGGCGGUCUGUCAAGUCAGAUGUGAAAUCCCCGGGCUUAACCUGGGAACUGCAUUUGAAACUGGCAGGCUAGAGUCUUGUAGAGGGGGGUAGAAUUCCAGGUGUAGCGGUGAAAUGCGUAGAGAUCUGGAGGAAUACCGGUGGCGAAGGCGGCCCCCUGGACAAAGACUGACGCUCAGGUGCGAAAGCGUGGGGAGCAAACAGGAUUAGAUACCCCCGUAGUCCUGUCUCUUAUACA
rnacentral:rRNA from 1 species